UCGAGAGUUUGAUCCUGGCUCAGGAUGAACGCUAGCGGCAGGCUUAACACAUGCAAGUCGAGGGGUAUAGUUCUUCGGAGCUAGAGACCGGCGCACGGGUGCGUAACGCGUAUGCAAUCUACCUUUUACAGAGGGAUAGCCCAGAGAAAUUUGGAUUAAUACCUCAUAGUAUGUGAGAAUCGCAUUGGUUUUCACAUUAAAGUUCCAACGGUAAAAGAAUGAGCAUGCGUCCCAUUAGCUAGAGUGGUAGA
rnacentral:rRNA from 1 species